rnacentral:rRNA from 1 species
ACGGGAGGCAGCAGUGGGGAAUUUUGCGCAAUGGGGGAAACCCUGACGCAGCAACGCCGCGUGCGGGAUGACGGCCUUCGGGUUGUAAACCGCUUUCAGCAGGGAAGAUAAUGACUGUACCUGCAGAAGAAGCUCCGGCUAACUACGUGCCAGCAGCCGCGGUAAUACGUAGGGAGCAAGCGUUAUCCGGAUUCAUUGGGCGUAAAGCGCGUGUAGGCGGCUUGUUAAGCGAGGUGUCUAAUCUUGGGGCUCAACCCCAUUCCGCACCUCGAACUGGCAGGCUUGAGUUCGGUAGGGGAAAGUGGAAUUCCCAGUGUAGCGGUGAAAUGCGCAGAUAUUGGGAAGAACACCGGUGGCGAAGGCGGCUUUCUGGGCCGUAACUGACGCUGAGACGCGAAAGCGUGGGUAGCAAACAGGAUUAGAUACCCUGGUA